UAGGGAAUCUUCGGCAAUGGACGAAAGUCUGACCGAGCAACGCCGCGUGAGUGAAGAAGGUUUUCGGAUCGUAAAACUCUGUUGUUAGAGAAGAACAAGGACGUUAGUAACUGAACGUCCCCUGACGGUAUCUAACCAGAAAGCCACGGCUAACUACGUUCCAGCAGCCGCGGUAAUACGUAGGUGGCAAGCGUUGUCCGGAUUUAUUGGGCGUAAAGCGAGCGCAGGCGGUUUCUUAAGUCUGAUGUGAAAGCCCCCGGCUCAACCGGGGAGGGUCAUUGGAAACUGGGAGACUUGAGUGCAGAAGAGGGGAGUGGAAUUCCAUGUGUAGCGGUGUAAUGCGUAGAUAUAUGGAGGAACACCAGUGGCGAAGGCGGCUCUCUGGUCUGUCACUGACGCUGAGGCUCGAAAGCGUGGGGAGCAAACAGG
rnacentral:rRNA from 1 species